rnacentral:rRNA from 1 species
GGCCAGACUCCUACGGGAGGCAGCAGUCGGGAAUAUUGCGCAAUGGAGGAAACUCUGACGCAGUGACGCCGCGUAUAGGAAGAAGGUUUUCGGAUUGUAAACUAUUGUCCACAGGGAAGAUAAAAGACUGUACCUGUGAAGAAAGCUCCGGCUAACUACGUGCCAGCAGCCGCGGUAAUACGUAGGGAGCAAGCGUUAUCCGGAUUUACUGGGUGUAAAGGGAGCGUAGACGGCAAUGCAAGUCUGGAGUGAAAGCCCAAGGCCCAACCAUGGGACUGCUCUGGAAACUGUGUAGCUUGAGUGCAGGAGGGGUAAGCGGAAUUCCUAGUGUAGCGGUGAAAUGCGUAGAUAUUAGGAGGAACACCGGUGGCGAAGGCGGCUUACUGGACUGCAACUGACGUUGAGGCUCGAAGGCGUGGGGAGCAAACAGGAUUAGAUACCCCCGUACA